rnacentral:rRNA from 1 species
AGCGAACGCUGGCGGCAGGCUUAACACAUGCAAGUCGAACGGGCGUAGCAAUACGUCAGUGGCAGACGGGUGAGUAACGCGUGGGAACGUACCUUUUGGUUCGGAACAACCCAGGGAAACUUGAGCUAAUACCGGAUACGUCCGCGAGGAGAAAGAUUCAUCGCCGGAGGAUUGGCCCGCGUCUGAUUAGCUUGUUGGUGAGGUAACGGCUCACCAAGGCGACGAUCAGUAGCGGUCUGAGAGGAUGAUCAGCCACAUUGGGACUGAGACACGGCCCAAACUCCUACGGGAGGCAGCAGUGGGGAAUUUUGCGCAAUGGGGAAACCCUGACGCAGCAACGCCGCGUGGAGGAUGAAAUCCCUUGGGAUGUAAACUCCUUUCGAUCGGGACGAUUAUGACGGUACCGGAAGAAGAAGACCCCGGCC